GGAGGGUGCCUUUCAGGCAUCCUCUCCCAAAACUUUCCAAGGGGCUGGCUCACGCUGGCCCCAUUUUUUUGCCCGCC
rnacentral:sRNA from 15 species